rnacentral:lncRNA from 1 species
AUGUUGGAUCAAUGAUGAAUGUCUGUGAGCAUUCUUAGAGUCAUGAAUCAUGACGACAAAUUUAAUUCUGAGAUCAACAUCAUAAAGUAUCCAGUGACAGCUAUAAGAAGUAGUCUUCUUUUAUAAGUCAGUAAAUGUAAAUAAAAAUUGACUAGGAAGUCAUUUAAUCAAAAGGCAGCUCACAAAGAAGACUACAUAUAUGUAUAUAUGUAUAUAUGUAAGAAGAAAGUGUGACAGAGUAAUGACCAUGGAGGUGAGGGAUAAGAUGAAAUGAGCAGAAGCAGGCAGAAUACAUAGAUAAGCGAACGGAACAUCAAUCUCUUUAUAACCUCUUCUGUCUAUACUUCAAGAAUGGAUAUCCUGCAAGUCGGCUUCGUAGAGUCUCCCUUGAAAGUGGACCUCAUGAUCUAGCCUUUAUGUCCGUGGAUUGACACUGUGAUGGAUUCCCCCCAAGUUCAUUUAGAUAUUCUCUCUUAUUCAUAAAUGUCACGGUCAGCUCUGUUCUUAUAGAUACCAGAAUGGAUACCCCUAAGCUGAUGUAUAUACACCCUUCCUCGGUUGUGAGAUUCCUGCUCUGGUGGUUGUAGUCAUAAGAUAUACAUCGUUGCGUACACCUUGGUUGUGGGCACGCACACUACUGUUGAAUUACCACCUUGUCCAAGUGGAUGGAUGCCCUCAAUGGGAUUGGCACUUUCUCCAUUGCUCCUGCACUCUGUUAUCAGCACUUCGGGUUCAUAAUGUACACACAGCAAUGGAUUUUCUGCAGCUGAUUUUCUAUAUUCUGUUUUCUUCGGAUGCCUUCCUCACUGGUCACCAGGUUCAAGGUCCCUCAUAUGUGUCAGGUGCAUAGUCACCAACAAAGGCCAACUUCACAUCAAUGGGUGGAUCGUACCUCGGCCUAAGCUCCAGGAUUGAUUGUGCUGUUAGAGUCACAGCUACAACCUCCUAACUGAGAUGUCUCCAUCAAAUCCCUUCCUUCAGGGCUCAGGGAACCCAGUGGAAGAGGAGGUGGAGUGUGAGAGCCAAUUGGAAUGGAAGACAGUGAGGAAACAAGGCCUUCGAGACACAAGAGGACUGCUGAGCUCACAAAGACUGAGGCAGCACCCUCAGGACCUGCACAGGUCUAAGCUUGAUGCGAUCUGAGUACUGAGAGGGCAACUGGACACAAUUCUAUAUUGAUAACCCAGAAGCUUUCUCCAGUUGAUAAACUCUUUCAAA